UCCGUAGGUGAACCUGCGGAAGGAUCAUUGUCGAUACCUGCCCAGCAGAACGACCUGUGAACAUGUAAUAACCUUCUGGGUGGGGGUGUAAUGCCCCCUCCCAAAAAACGGUUGGGAGGGCACGUUGAGAUAUGCCCACCGCUCCUCGUGUGUGGUUGGUCAAUCUUCUCGUUCCCUUCCCGAUCGAACAAUGAACCCCGGCGCGGUCUGCGCCAAGGAACUUAAACAAGGAGUAACCACGAGCGCCCCGGAAACGGUGUGCGCGUUGUUGGUGACAUCUUUACCAUGAUACAUAACGACUCUCGGCAACGGAUAUCUCGGCUCUCGCAUCGAUGAAGAACGCAGC
rnacentral:rRNA from 1 species